rnacentral:rRNA from 1 species
AUUGAACGCUGGCGGCAUGCCUUACACAUGCAAGUCGAACGGCAGCACGGGAGCAAUCCUGGUGGCGAGUGGCGAACGGGUGAGUAAUAUAUCGGAACGUGCCCAGUCGUGGGGGAUAACGUAGCGAAAGCUACGCUAAUACCGCAUACGAUCUACGGAUGAAAGCGGGGGAUCGCAAGACCUCGCGCGAUUGGAGCGGCCGAUAUCAGAUUAGCUAGUUGGUGGGGUAAAAGCUCACCAAGGCGACGAUCUGUAGCUGGUCUGAGAGGACGACCAGCCACACUGGAACUGAGACACGGUCCAGACUCCUACGGGAGGCAGCAGUGGGGAAUUUUGGACAAUGGGCGCAAGCCUGAUCCAGCAAUGCCGCGUGCAGGAUGAAGGCCUUCGGGUUGUAACUAGCUUUGUUACGGAACGAAACGGUAGAGCUCUAAUAAGACUUGCUAAUGACGGUACCGUAACGAAUAAGACACCGGACUAACU